rnacentral:rRNA from 1 species
GACGAACGCUGGCGGCGUGCUUAACACAUGCAAGUCGAACGGAAAGGCCUGCUUUCCCUUGUGGAUUGCGGGUACUCGAGUGGCGAACGGGUGAGUAACACGUGCGUGAUCUGCCCCCAACUUGGGUAUAAGCCUGGGAAACUGGGUCUAAUUCCCGAUAGGACUGCAGGGUGGUGCCUGUGGUGGAAAACGAUUUUCUAUUGGUUGGGGAUGAGCUCGCGGCCUAUCAGCUUGUUGGUGGGGUAAUGGCCUACCAAGGCGGCGACGGGUAGCCGGCCUGAGAGGGUGGACGGCCACAUUGGGACUGAGAUCAGGCCCAGACACCUACGGGAGGCGGCAGUGGGGAAUAUUGCACAGUGGACGGAAGCAUGAUGCAGCGACGCCGCGUGGGGGAUGACGGACUUCGGGUUGUAAACUCCUUUCGACCGCGAGGAAGCCACCUGGUUGGAAGGGUGGUGACGGUAGUGGUAGAAGAAGCACCGGCUAACUACGUG